AGCGAACGCUGGCGACAGGCCUAACACAUGCAAGUCGAACGGCAGCACAGUAAGAGCUUGCUCUUACGGGUGGCGAGUGGCGGACGGGUGAGGAAUACAUCGGAAUCUACAUUUUCGUGGGGGCUAACGUAGGGAAACCUACGCUAAUACCGCAUACGACCUACGUGUGAAAGCAGGGGAUCUUUUGACCUUGUGCGAUUGAAUGAGCCGAUGUCGGACUAGCUAGUUGGCGGGGUAAAGGCCCACCAAGGCGACGAUCCGUAGCUGGUCUGAGAGGAUGAUCAGCCACAUGGGAUGAGAGACAGGGACCAGACACCUGCGGGAAGCAGCAGUGGGGAAUAUUGGGCAAUGGGGGCGAGCCUGAUCCAGCGAUACCGCGUGGGUGAAGAAGGCGUUCGGGUUGGAAAGCCCUUUUGUUGGUAAAAAAAAGCAGCAGUUUAAUACGCCGCUGUACUGACGGUACCCAGAGAAGAAGCACCGGCUAACUUCGUG
rnacentral:rRNA from 1 species